rnacentral:rRNA from 1 species
UACGUAGGGGGCUAGCGUUAUCCGGAAUUACUGGGCGUAAAUGGUGCGUAGGUGGUUUCUUAAGUCAGAGGUGAAAGGCUACGGCUCAACCGUAGUAAGCCUUUGAAACUGAGAAACUUGAGUGCAGGAGAGGAGAGUAGAAUUCCUAGUGUAGCGGUGAAAUGCGUAGAUAUUAGGAGGAAUACCAGUUGCGAAGGCGGCUCUCUGGACUGUAACUGACACUGAGGCACGAAAGCGUGGGGAGCGAACAGG